rnacentral:rRNA from 1 species
GACGAACGCUGGCGGCGUGCUUAACACAUGCAAGUCGAACGGUGAUGCUCCAGCUUGCUGGAGUGGAUCAGUGGCGAACGGGUGAGUAACACGUGAGCAACCUGCCCCAGACUCUGGAAUAAGCGCUGGAAACGGCGUCUAAUACUGGAUACGAAACUGGCCCGCAUGGGCAUGGUUUGGAAAGUUUUUCGGUUUGGGAUGGGCUCGCGGCCUAUCAGCUUGUUUGUGAGGUAAUGGCUCACCAAGGCGACGACGGGUAGCCGGCCUGAGAGGGCGACCGGCCACACUGGGACUGAGACACGGCCCAGACUCCUACGGGAGGCAGCAGUGGGGAAUAUUGCACAAUGGGCGAAAGCCUGAUGCAGCGACGCCGCGUGAGGGAUGACGGCCUUCGGGUUGUAAACCUCUUUCAGCAGGGAAGAAGCGAAAGUGACGGUACCUGCAGAAGAAGCACCGGCUAACUACGUG